AGAUAAUAGAUACCCGGGUAGUCCUAGCUGUAAACGGUGCACGUUUGGUGUGGGAGGCAACCCCUUCCGUGCCGAAAGCUAAACGCGAUAAAACGUGCCGCCUGGGUAGUACGGUCGCAAGACUAAAACUCAAAGAAAUUGACGGGGACCCGCACAAGCGGUGGAGUAUGUGGCUUAAUUCGAUGCAACGCGAAGAACCUUACCAGGGCUUGACAUGUAUUGUAACCCCGGGUGAAAGCCGGGCAGCAUGGAAACAUGCGCUUUACACAGGUGCUGCAUGGCUGUCGUCAGCUCGUGUCGUGAGAUGUUGGGUUAACGUCCCGCAACGAGCGCAACCCUUAUGAUUUGUUGCCACC
rnacentral:rRNA from 1 species